CAAGCCCCAAUUUACGCCUGAAAACCCGAAACACCCGCUCCUCGUUCUAGAACAAACGCAAGAAAUCGUGGGAAAAAUCAAAACCAAGAAAUUCAUCCCCAAAUCAAAACCUGGAAAUCUUCAAAUCAUCUCAAGAAUAUUCGAGGGUUUGUAUAUAUAGGCAACAAUGUGCAAAGAAGUAGGGUAUCGGUGAUUAAUCUGUCAAAGUUCAUCUUACGGUUAUUUAGUGGAUUGAUUCUUCAAUUCAUCUUAUCUCUCAACUCUUCUCUAAUUUUCUGUCAUUUUUCCCACCUCAGUUCUGUUUUUUCUUCAUUCAUAUGGUUGACUUCAAUUGAGUUGAAUUUUCGAUUAGUUGCGGUUAAGGAGGAGCUAGAGUCCAAACCGUGACAAAUAGUAAUGGUGAUGUAAGGCGUGGCGUCAAGGAAGAAGAACGGAAGGAGGAAAGUGAAUCCGGAGACAAUGAACUCAACGAGGUAAGGUUAGUUCUGUAUUUUUGUCUUUGUAACCUUUUGUUGCAUUGUCAUAUCGAGUUUAUGGAAGUUAGCUUUUGUCUAUUGGAAUAUAGUGAGUCGGUGACCUCUGGAAUAAUGAAAUUUAUUUUAGUUGAUUUCUUGAGCUAUACCCGAAAAAUUGAAUAAUGAUAUAUGUCUGGUCAAAAAAAUUAGGAGUCUUGUAUAUUUUUGUGCAUUGAGAAAUGCAUAUUGCUUUCUAAUAUAUGUUUGUGUGUAUCUGAGAUUUGACACUGGGCAACUCACGUAGCUUUGCUUAUGCAUUAGGUGCAAAUUCUGGACACCAAAGAAGCCUUCUUAAUCUGUAUUUAUUCUACUUAAUUCUAG
rnacentral:lncRNA from 1 species